GUCUGAUUUAAUUAGUGAGCUGAUGGUAUGCCUUGUACCAACGGUGUGAUUCUCUUCUCCACUCACAACGAAACCCCUUCCGCCUCUUACAAACCUCCUCUAAACCCCUUCCGCUUUCCUCUUCGGCGCCCCUCCAUUGUAGCUUCUCUGAACCUAUUGCCACAGCGAGAGAGGCAGUGAAGCUGAAAGCUUUCAGUAAAUUUGAGAACAUUUCAGAAGCUUUGUCUGCAGCAAUCUUAAUAUUUGAUGGUAAGCCUAGCAAGGAUCUCUGCAAGUUUCUUCGUGCUCAUUGUGAUGGUGAAACAUUAAGCUGAAAGAUUUGAGGAAAUAUGAGAACAUUUCAGAAGCUUUAUCUGCAGCAAGCUUAAUAUUUGAUGGUGGACACAGUGAUUCUCCCUGAUAGCAACAUGGGUUUGAGAGGGAAACUGUUCUCUGGAGAAUCCAUUUGUCAGUAAUGCUUGGAGACGUGCUACUAGGACUUGACUCCAUCCUUUGAUGAGUUAAGCUGAGAAGAAGCAUAAUUUGGAGGUGGGGUUACCAAAGUGCUUACGGACAGGGUUGAGGUGAGAGGAAGGGACGUGGUUGACCAGCAAUUCUCAAGGUAAUGUCUUGGUGAGAGAGCGGCUUGGAGGCAGGAAUAAGAGGAGGAUUUGGGCUUGAAGAUAAGCUAGAAAGGGGCUUAGUGAAUUGGGGUUUGGAGGUUCUUAUAUGAGAUGGGUUUUAUGGGUUGGGCCAGAUAAAGUUGGAUCAAGUUUGGUAGAGCUGGAAGUAACCCAGAUUAGACCUAGGUAGCAUACCAACUGGGUUAAGUUGGGCUGGUUAUGGAUUUGAAUUCAGACCUGACACAAUUUUCAGGUUGGUAUGGUUUUUAUCCAGAUCUGACUGACUGGUCUUCAGAAAUGUGUUGGGCCAAGUCUAAGUGGGUCCAACCCAAUGCAACCUUUUUGCAGCCUAAUUCAGCAUUUCUGUACAUACUUAUUGUUUCAAGUCUUUUGACAAAUUUUAUUCUUAACUUUCACAAACUUCUUCCGUAUCUUAAAAUUUUUCCUUGUAAUUUUGGUACCAUGACAUAUUCUGUAGUUUUGAAGAUCAUUUCUUUUUCAAGUUGUUUGCUUUUAUUUCAAUAAUCAUUUUAUAGUGGAUGUUUUUCCCACAUUAAGGAAUCAAUCUCGGUAAUCUCAUACUUAUUAUAGUUUAACAUCUAGAAACGUGCCUAAUAACAGUGCAAAUAAAAAGCACUCAAAGUCAUGGUCCCAAUAAAAUUCCUGUUUAAUUUUUAGUAUUUAUCCAUCUGUUUUGUAACUAACUAUAAUCUCAACUUUUUUUAUGGUGCCUUUAGCCUCAGAUCUUUUUUCCUCUCUUUCUAUCCAGCAUUUUUUUUUUUUGAUUCUUCAGUCUUAUUUCAUGUAGGCCACUACUUGAAACUAGAUGGUUUUUAUCAUAGACCGUAUAUAUGACCUUAGCUUUGUCUUACGACGUUAUUUUAAAUGUACAACACCUGCUUAAGACUCUAAGAACAUUCUUUCUGGUUUUUGAUGCUGUCUACCAUCUGACAUCUCAAUAUUCUUAUAGUUUUCUUAGUUUUUGUAGUUUGGCAAUGUAACUUCUAAAAAUUGGACUGAGUCAACUCCAAUUGAGCAGGAGUUGACUCCUCUGCAGCUCUGGCUGAAUCUUGCGGAUGGCUGGCACUCUUCAUCUCGUGGCUGCUUCCCACCUGAUUCCAAGACUUGUGAGCACCACACUUGAGCUCACAUUAAUAAUAUAAUCUUGUACUUCUUCCCUCAUGCUCCAGUUGCUUGUACUUCCAUGGUUGGCAAUCUUCUAAUAUGCAAGCAUUGAUUACUAUAAGAACAGUCAAAGUAUCUUGAUAUUUCCUUGUGAGAAUGUAUUCGCAUUGCUUGCGUCAGAUACACCAACUCAUUGGCAUUUAGCCUAUAUCCUCGAUACUUGCAGGUCUUAGCUUCAUUUCUUUUUCAAUGGUACAUCUGACUAAUUUCUAAUUUUUAGUCACUAAAAUAACUUAUACUGAUAUUUUAUUUUGCGUAUUUGCAAGAGUGAUUGUUAAUUGUCAUAUUCACUUCUUUCCAUUUGAUCUUCUGUGCACAUUAAUUUUUGACUUAUGAUGUUGUAUCUCUUUUCUUUUAUUAAAACUGACAUCCAAUGAGCUUAAAUAAUUUUCUUCAACAGGAUUAACUUCUUUACCCACCCUGAUAUUUUGAUCUCCGAACCCUCUCUUGCUUGUUAUUUAAAUCAGCAUCUUCUAUGUCAUGUCUUAUGUUUGCCUCAGGCAACUCUUGCACAUUUCUUGUCAAUAUUUGGUUAUUGUGUAGCAUUUGGCUGACAUCGAGUCUGGCACCUUGUUGUGGGUUAUGCUGCAGAUUGCAUUCACUAACUCGAAAUUUAUUGGAGCUUAAGAGUCACUCACAUUUAUAAAGAGGGCGAGCAGCUUGCGAAUUGGUUGGCUAAUUAGGACAAAAAUGAGCAAACAGAAUUGCUUAUGGAAUGCUGACUUCCUGAGGAGUUGAUCAGUCUGCUCACAAUGGAUUACGGUCCUUGUAUUGUAAAGAACCUAUGAUUGUUUGUUGUUUGUGUCGGUCCUUAAGGGGGGACAGGUUAGGUACAUCAGGUUGGAUGUUCUCAUGGGUAAGGGCAUCCAACUUGCAGUCAGGAAUUCCCAGAAUAGGAUUAGCUUGCAAUGCUGUACUGCAUUUGUAUCACUCUUUAUUGCCUCUGCUCUGCAAGUAUAGUGUGUGCACUGACAGAUACCAACAUGACCACCCUUGCACGUGCACAGACAUGCACGCACCAGUACACCACCUAUACGGUGCCUUUUAAAACCGAUGACCUUAUAAUUCUAGUGCUUCAUUAGCUGUUACCUGUACAAAACGAAAUACAUAUAUGUAUGUGCAUCUAUGUGCAUCAGUGCAUAUGUAUGUACAUAUAGAGAGUGACUAUAUCUUGGUCCCUCUUUUCUUUUUGAGAAACCUUAGACAUAUGACCAAUUUCAUAUGACUGUUUAGAGCUCUGAAGACAAAACAUGUUACACCAACACUUGGGCUUAUCUUCAAUGCAUCCUUAAUUGGUCAGGCAGCCCUAAAACUCAAGGGGAAGUUUUCUUGUUCUCUUGCUGCAGAAACUGCAUUGGCUAUUAGAUAUGAUGCCCUUGGCAAUGGUGAGGACAACAAUAUGAGACUAGAAAAUCGAGCUAGGCAGUGUAGGCAACAGACUGCUACUAUGUUAUCCUACACACCAUAUUGUCCUAAAAUUGGAUUCUUGUAUUUGUGAAUGGAUCGAAACCUGUUUAAGAUUUCUCUAGGGUAGAGAAUUGGUCAGUUCUGCUGGCUGAACAAAAGGCAAGCCCGGGAUUGAGUUCUAUAACAACAACCGAAAGAAGGGUACAGGCUCUGAUUGCUCCAGCAGAGUGAUUGGGCAAAGCACCGAACCAGCUGCCAAGAAUUUGGCUGAUGAACGGGAGGGGGCACAACCUAGAGAGAUGGAGCAUGAGGAAGUAUAGGUAGCUGAAGAAGCUACCUUGAAAGAAGGGGAUGAUGGUGAGGGGGAGAAAAGGAAGAAGAAGAGCAAGAAGUCUGAUAUAGAGAGCACCUGAUUGCAAAGUGAUGAUCAGAAUGCUCCAGCCAUGGCAGAAGAAGAGCAGGAAAUGAAGAAAAAUCAAGCUGAAGCUCCGAGCACCAAUGAGUUAGAGAAUCAAGAUCAGCCUGUCAUGCCAAAGAAAAAAGGAAAAGAAGAAGAAAGAUGAAGGAUGAGUAAUGACAUGUGUGGGAGAGAAUGAUCAGUUCUGUUUGGUGCAGGUGAACGGAAUCUGCAAAUUUGGAUUAGUUCAUUUAGGUUUCAACAGGGAUAGAUCUGCAAAAAUUUAGCUAUUGUUGUUACAGU